GUGUUCAUGAUCGAUUUCUGAUCCCUUCUUUAGAACCUUGCUGCUGCUCUCUAAAGCCGAGAAGGUUCUCAAGUUGAUAAAUCGCGCCCCUCUGACAGGAAAUCCUGUUCACAUUAGGUAAUCCCAUUAAUACCCUCUUUCAAGAAAGGCUUGAAUUCACAAUCUUUUCUUCGAGGUGAGCAUCUCUUCCCCCUCUCUUUUUCCACCACUUUUGGUGACUUAUUUGAUUCGAUGCUGUUCUCUGUUCUCAUCUUCAGCAAUUUAUUUUGCCCAAAUUUCUUCUUGUUUUUAAUAUUGUACUGCUUUUUUUGGGCAAUGAACCAACCAAAACCCUAAAAUAUUUGAGGGCUUGGUGUCAAUGUUUUGAUCCGCCAUUGGAGCUUUCAAUGGCAUGGUCUUACCCACUUCGAGCAAUAAGGUGGUGUUUAUAUUCUUUCUUUUGUUUAUUUGGUUCUUUUAUUUGUUUCAUUCUUUCUUUGUUUUUUUUCUUGAAAUUAGGUUGUUCGUUACUUUCUGUGCUGGCAAGAAAGCGGAAGGCUUUGUUGGUUUUCUUUGUCUUUACAUUAUAUCUGUCGGGUAUCUGCAGGGCCUGAUUUACUGUUAUAAUAUGAUUAAAGGGCUUCGCAUGCUUUGCUUGGAUCUACUAUUUCCAGUUUGGCAUUCUCUAUUUUUUUUCACAAUAUUUCUUGCAGCCUGAUUUUCUAUUAUAUAUAAGGCCUUUGUUAUAUAAGUUCGACUUAGCGUUAUAUAUCUUGCCUCUUGAAUGCUCUGAAUUUGGAUUCCAUUUAUUUGAGUUCAAUGUUCAGCCAGGUGUUGAGGCUCUCAAUGGCAUGGACUUACCCAGAUCAAGCAAGAUCGCCACGAAGAUUAAAGAAGCUACAGCAAGUCAGUUCCAAUAAUUCACAUAUGGUGUUAUAGGGAAGGGGAGAUUGUUGAAGUCCAGGUGGCUGUUGCUGAUGAUGGAUGCUUUAAGGGAUUUUUGUCAUGUGGAAUCUGCCACUGAAGAAGCAGCUUGGAAUUUUUUUUUUUUUUUUGGUCCUUUUGUAGUGGUGAUUCAAUCUAGAAAUUGCAUAGAUCUCCUGGAUUAUCUUCUUUGAUCUGUAACAUGCAAAACUUUCACCUUUUCUCUACAAUGAUUGCUUUUAGAAAAUUCCA